rnacentral:rRNA from 1 species
GACGAACGCUGGCGGCGUGCUUAACACAUGCCAGUCGAACGGAAGGGCCCUGCUUUUGUGGGGUGCUCGAGUGGCGAACGGGUGAGUAACACGUGAGUAACCUGCCCUUGACUUUGGGAUAACUUCAGGAAACUGGGGCUAAUACCGGAUAGGAGCUCCUGCUGCAUGGUGGGGGUUGGAAAGUUUCGGCGGUUGGGGAUGGACUCGCGGCUUAUCAGCUUGUUGGUGGGGUAGUGGCUUACCAAGGCUUUGACGGGUAGCCGGCCUGAGAGGGUGACCGGCCACAUUGGGACUGAGAUACGGCCCAGACUCCUACGGGAGGCGGCAGUGGGGAAUAUUGCACAAUGGGCGGAAGCCUGAUGCAGCAACGCCGCGUGCGGGAUGACGGCCUUCGGGUUGUAAACCGCUUUCGCCUGUGACGAAGCGUGAGUGACGGUAAUGGGUAAAGAAGCACCGGCUAACUACGUG